AAUAAUUAUAAAAGUCUUGUGUGGAUGCCCUCACGCUUUGCCGUGGGGCCGCAUCAGCAGCACAGCGAGAGCAGAGCAAAGCAGUGACACGUUUACACUUUAAAAUUUUUAAAAAGUGUUUAAAAAUACGAUAAAGUGAUUAAAAAUAAAAUUAUAAAAGUCUUGUGCGGACACCCUGGCGCUGGGCUGCAGGGGCGCGUCAGCCGGCCAGCACGGCAAGAGCAGAGCGGAGCCAGCGGAGCCGUGACACGUUUACACUUUAAAAUGUUUUAAAAAGUGUUU